UGAGCAGGCCGGCCGAUCGCCGGCUGAGAUAUGCCGGAGGAAAGUCCGGGCAGGAAAGGGCACGGAGGUGGCUAACGGCCACCCGGAGCGAUCCGAGGGAAAGUGCAGCAGAAAACAUACAGCCUGUGGCCAUUGUGCCUCAGGUAAUGGUGAAAUGGUGCGGUAAGAGCGCACCGCGGAAGCGGCGACGUUUCCGGCAAGGCAAACCCCUCCGCCUGCAAGACCAAGUAUGCCGGUGCCGGCCCGGCAGAUACCGGCGGGUAGGCUGCUUGCAGAAAUGCAGAGCUGAAUGGCAACAUUCAGUCCAGUUAAAUGAUCGGCUCCGCACUUGCGGAACAGAACCCGGCUUAAAGGCCUGCUCAUUUU
rfam:Phycisphaerae bacterium L21-RPul-D3, complete genome.